rnacentral:rRNA from 1 species
AGUGAACGCUGGCGGUAGGCCUAACACAUGCAAGUCGAACGGCAGCACAGUAAGAGCUUGCUCUUACGGGUGGCGAGUGGCGGACGGGUGAGGAAUACAUCGGAAUCUACUUUUUCGUGGGGGAUAACGUAGGGAAACUUACGCUAAUACCGCAUACGACCUACGGGUGAAAGCAGGGGAUCUUCGGACCUUGCGCGAUUGAAUGAUGCGAUGUCGGAUUAGCUAGUUGGCGGGGUAAAGGCCCACCAAGGCGACGAUCCGUAGCUGGUCUGAGAGGAUGAUCAGCCACACUGGAACUGAGACACGGUCCAGACUCCUGCGGGAGGCAGCAGUGGGGAAUAUUGGACAAUGGGCGCAAGCCUGAUCCAGCCAUACCGCGUGGGUGAAGAAGGCCUUCGGGUUGUAAAGCCCUUUUGUUGGGAAAGAAAAGCAGCAGGUUAAUACCCCGCUGUUCUGACGGUACCCAAAGAAUAAGCACCGGCUAACUUCGUG